UAAUGACUGCAACUGUUAAUGGAAAGCUAUUCUCCAGCUAUAUGAUGCAUUGUUGUGCUUGUUUAACACAACAUAGAACUAGAUCUGAUCCAUAAUUUGUAUGAGAAGCUAAUAAAAAAUCUGUUUUUAUUUUUCAAUUCCCAUUUGCAGGAGAGAGAUUUAGUGAUUUAGUGUUAAGUGGAGUGCCUCCAUUUUGGGCUGAGAGCGAGCAAGGGAUAUUUGAAGAAGUAUUACAUGGUGACCUAGACUUUUCAACAGACCCAUGGCCUAGUAUUUCUAAAGGUGCCAAAGAUUUAGUAAGGAAAAUGCCUAUUCGAGAUCCCAAAAGGUGGAUAUCUGCACAUGAUGUUUUGUGCCAUCCCUGGGUUCAAGUUGGUGGUGUGGCUCCUGACAAGCCUCUCGAUUCUACAAUAUUAAGUUGAUUGAAGCAAUUCUCUACAAUGAACAAGCUCAAGAAAAUGGCUAUUAGAGUAAGUCACUUUAUGUAUUAAAUAAGUGAAUGGUUUGAAGCCAAAUAAUUGAU